rnacentral:tRNA from 1 species
CACUAUGAAGCUUUAAAAGCAUUAACCUUUUAAGUUAAAGUAGACACAAUAUCACCCAUAGUGA